rnacentral:piRNA from 1 species
UUAAACCUGUUAAAAUAAAUUGAUUAGCCAA